rnacentral:rRNA from 1 species
GUCGACGGCAGCACGGGAGCAAUCCUGGUGGCGAGUGGCGAACGGGUGAGUAAUAUAUCGGAACGUGCCCAGUCGUGGGGGAUAACGUAGAGAAAUUUACGCUAAUACCGCAUACGAUCUAAGGAUGAAAGCGGGGGACCGUAAGGCCUCGCGCGAUUGGAGCGGCUGAUAUCAGAUUAGGUUGUUGGUGAGGUAAAAGCUCACCAAGCCGACGAUCUGUAGCUGGUUUGAGAGAACGACCAGCCACACUGGGACUGAGACACGGCCCAGACUCCUACGGGAGGCAGCAGUGGGGAAUUUUGGACAAUGGGCGAAAGCCUGAUCCAGCAAUGCCGCGUGCAGGAAGAAGGCCUUCGGGUUGUAAACUGCUUUUGUACGGAACGAAAAGGUCUGCCCUAAUACGGCGGGCCCAUGACGGUACCGUAAGAAUAAGCACCGGCUAACUACGUGCCAGCAGCCGCGGUAAUACGUAGGGUGCGAGCGUUAAUCGGAAUUACUGGGCGUAAAGCGUGCGCAGGCGGUGAUGUAAGACAGUUGUGAAAUCCCCGGGCUCAACCUGGGAAUUGCAUCUGUGACUGCAUCGCUAGAGUACGGUAGAGGGGGAUGGAAUUCCGCGUGUAGCAGUGAAAUGCGUAGAUAUGCGGAGGAACACCGAUGGCGAAGGCAAUCCCCUGGACCUGUACUGACGCUCAUGCACGAAAGCGUGGGG